CUGCUGCUGCAGGAUAUACAUCAGUGAAAGAGGAGAAAAACAAUUCAAAACACUACAAAACUGCCUAGAAGGAUAGGAAGAAAAAGACUGAAAACCAGCUAAAGUGAUAGUCGCAGAAAUUAUCAAAGUGAAACAAUAAAUCUAGCCUAAUUCGUAGCGUGAAAUGAA